rnacentral:RNase_P_RNA from 1 species
UGAGUUAACCAGACAAUCGCUGGCCCGCAAAGGGCUGGAGGAAAGUCCGAACACCACAGGGCAGGGUGCUCCAUAACGUGGAGUCGCGGUGACGCGAAGGCAAGUGCAACAGAGAGCAGACCGCCCCGCUGCCAAGGCGGGGUAAGGGUGAAACGGUGCGGUAAGAGCGCACCAGUUCUCCGGGCGACCGGGGAAGCUAUGUAAACCCCACCCGGUGCAAGACCAAAUAGAGAAGCGAUUGAGGGCGGCCCGCCCGAGCUUCCGGGUCGGUCGCAAGAGGUGCCGGGCAGCCGGUAUCCAUAAGAUGAAUGAUUGUCGCCUGUGGAGGGGUAACCCGACACAGGAACAGAAUUCGGCUUACGGGUGACUCCAACC